UACGGAGGGUGCAAACGUUGCUCGGAAUUAUUGGGCGUAAAGCGCACGUAGGCGGACCAUCAAGUCGGUUGUGAAAUCCCUCGGCUUAACCGAGGACGUGCAUUCGAAACUGAUGGCCUUGAGUACAAAUGAUGUGGGCGGAAUGUGCAAUGUAGCGGUGAAAUGCUUAGAUAUGACAUAGAACACCAAUUGCGAAGGCAGCUGGCUACACAUAUAUUGACACUGAGGCACGAAAGCGUGGGGAUCAAACAGG
rnacentral:rRNA from 1 species